rnacentral:lncRNA from 1 species
AUUUGGAGCUGUUGAUAAUUUUUAUAGACACUGUAGUCUUUUCAACAUUAUUUUAAGAAAGACUUUAAAUUUGAAAAGAUGUACUGCAAUGGACAACAGUAUUAGAAAUCUGUUCUUUAGAUCAGUAACAAAAAUGAUAUUUGCCUAAAUUUGAAUUCUGAAAGCUUUUCUUUGGAAUAUUUAUAGUUUGGCUUCAUUUGUUUUGAUAAAUCAUAAUUUAUGUGUAGCUUUUUAUACGUGGUUACUCUUUUCUCCACAGUGUAUUCUUGGAAAUGGUCCAUGUGAAUUAUAAAACAAGUUAUAUUUUUCUCAUAGAAAAACUUUCUGGAAAAUACUUUCCUGAUCCAAAGACAUGGCAUUAAAUGUUAUCAUAGAUGCACACUUUAUUAGUGCAUCCCAACUCAAAGGAUUAUCACCAUCCUCAGAAAAACUUCCUGCAUUUUCCUAAGAGUUUAUUGUCCUGUAGUGUGCUCCCUCUUAAAUCCCAGCUCUGAGAAAGAAAUUGUAUUAGUUAUCUUUCUUGGAAGCUCUCUCACAGCAGGAAGUGCUGAGUUUCAGAGUAGGGGAAAGCAAAUGGAUAUUUGCUG